UAAGGAAUAUUGGUCAAUGAACGCAAGUCUGAACCAGCCAUGCCGCGUGAAGGACGAAGGUCCUCUGGAUUGUAAACUUCUUUUAUCUGGGACGAAAACGGGAUUUUUAUCUCAAUUGACGGUACCAGAGGAAUAAGCACCGGCUAACUCCGUGCCAGCAGCCGCGGUAAUACGGAGGGUGCGAGCGUUAUCCGGAUUUACUGGGUUUAAAGGGUGCGUAGGUGGGCAGAUAAGUCAGUGGUGAAAUCUUCCGGCUUAACCGGGAAACUGCCGUUGAUACUAUUUGUCUUGAAUAUUGCGGAGGUAAGCGGAAUAUGUCAUGUAGCGGUGAAAUGCUUAGAUAUGACAUAGAACACCAAUUGCGAAGGCAGCUUACUACACAAUCAUUGACACUGAGGCACGAAAGCGUGGGUAGCGAACA
rnacentral:rRNA from 1 species